rnacentral:snRNA from 1 species
AUACUUACCUGACAGGGAAGAUACCAUGGUCAUGGAGGUGGAUUUCCCAGGGCGAGGCUUAUCCACUGCACUCCAGAUGUGCUGAGCCCUGGGAUUUCCCCAAAUGUGGGGAACUCGACUGCAUCAUUGGUGAUAGUGGGGGACUGCGUUCGCGCUCUCCCCGA